AUUGAACGCUGGCGGCAUGCCUUACACAUGCAAGUCGAACGGUAACAGGUCUUCGGAUGCUGACGAGUGGCGAACGGGUGAGUAAUACAUCGGAACGUGCCCGAUCGUGGGGGAUAACGAGGCGAAAGCUUUGCUAAUACCGCAUACGAUCUACGGAUGAAAGCGGGGGAUCUUCGGACCUCGCGCGGACGGAGCGGCCGAUGGCAGAUUAGGUAGUUGGUGGGAUAAAAGCUUACCAAGCCGACGAUCUGUAGCUGGUCUGAGAGGAUGAUCAGCCACACUGGGACUGAGACACGGCCCAGACUCCUACGGGAGGCAGCAGUGGGGAAUUUUGGAAGAUGGGCGAAAGCCUGAUCCAGCCAUGCCGCGUGCAGGAUGAAGGCCUUCGGGUUGUAAACGGCUUUUGUACGGAACGAAAAGCCUCUUUCUAAUAAAGAGGGGUCAUGACGGUACCGUAAGAAUAAGCACCGGCUAACUACG
rnacentral:rRNA from 1 species